rnacentral:rRNA from 1 species
UACGGGGGGGGCAAGCGUUGUUCGGAAUUACUGGGCGUAAAGGGCUCGUAGGCGGCCAACUAAGUCAGACGUGAAAUCCCCCGGCUUAACCAGGGAACUGCGUCUGAUACUGGAUGGCUUGAGUUUGGGAGAGGGAUGCGGAAUUCCAGGUGUAGCGGUGAAAUGCGUAGAUAUCAGGAAGAACACCCGUGGCGAAGGCGGCUCUCUGGGACGGUACUGACGCUGAGACGCGAAAGCGUGGGGAGCAAACAGG